AGCUUUCCGAAUCCGUGCUGAGAUUUCGUCCAAUACCAACCCAUUAGGGCUGAUUAGACUUCCAAGAUAAGUGAAGUU
rfam:Schistosoma margrebowiei strain Zambia genome assembly, scaffold: SMRZ_scaffold0001484